GGGUUCCUGGCAUUGUGAUUU
rnacentral:miRNA from 17 species